UCCGGGCGGCGCCGGCGGGGUCGCUCGGGCCUGGCCUCUGGCGCUGUGGCCUCGGGCUCCCGGCCCCGGGAAGCGGUUGGGGCCGCCGCCGCCGCCGCCGCCGCCGCCGCUGCCGCCGCAGGACCGGCCGGAGUCGGGCCGGAGCUGCGUCUCCCGGAGCGAGCCUGUGAGAGCGGGCGCCCGGCCUCGGCGGCGGAGUCACCGCGGCCUGCCACGCGCCCGCCUUGGGGCUGUCGCGCCGCCGCCGCGAUAGGGGCCGCCCGGGGCCGCGCCAACGUUCCGUUCCGUCCGCCGCGCCGCCGUUGAGCGCGUGGGCCGUGCCGCAGCCGCGCGCCGGGGUUGGAACAUCAUCAAACUCUCCCCCAUUCUACCAGAAGAGGGCAGCAAAGCAAACCAAGAGGAAACUUACUGGUCAAAUGCAAGAAAUGCACUCAAGAAAAUUCAGAAAGCUAAUAGCCCCAAAGCUUUCUCGGGGUGGCUUCCUUGUUUUAAAGUGUUUAUGAAGGCCUUACUACAAGUGCCUCCCUUUGCAAGAGGCAUGAACAAAUCUUAAGGCAUUAAUAUACCCUCCUGCAGCCUCUGGCUUAUCUAAUAUAAAGUAUUAACCUUGCUGAAUGUUUACCCGGUGCCAGGCACUCUGCUAAUCUCUGACCACAUAUUAGCUUACUUAAUCUUCACAAAAGCCUUGCUAGCCCUGUUGAACAGAUGACCCUGAGGAGUACAGACUUCAGGUAACAAACUCACACAAAGUAACACCACCAGAAUUUAAACCUAGCUGCUAUUCCAAAACCCUUGCUUUUACGUACUGACCCUAAUAUAUGCCUCUAGAUUUCAGAGAAGCUAGGAGUGUUCGGUUUAACAGGCAAGAUAUGUGUGUGUGUUACUUAGCUGACUGAAAAAGGAGCUAGUUAUUUAAGUCAAAUGCUGCACAUAGGCUUUAAAACAGAGUUUAAAACUGAUGAAGCCAUCUGAGUGCUUCGCCUUGAUGUCUGUUUAUUCCCAUCCUGCAGUAGAGUGAUUUCUAGGGCAAUUUUUCUAGGUAAACAUCGUGUGGGGCAGAAGUCAGAAGCUGGAAGCUUCCCAACUUGGCCAUCUUUCACUUUACAGUUAAGUGAUCAGCUGCUGUAGCAGGUCGGAAAUUCUGGCCACAGAGUUUUGCAGCUCCUCCCACGGAAGUGGAGUCUGUUUUCCCACCUCUAGUAUCUGGGCUGGCCCUGUGCCUUGCUUUCACUAAUUAAUAAAAUGCUCAGAUGUGUUUUCUGUUUCUAGGCCUUAAGAGGCCAGGCUACUUCAGACUCGGGCCCCACUGUCAUGGGAAGCAGCUGAGGCUAAGCCACAGGCCCAUGAGAGUGAAGGGAGACAAUGUGGAGAGCAAGCCAGCACCAUGCAGAGAGGAGCAUCCAGCUGAGCCCUCCUCAUCUCCAGAACUGCCUCCACAAGACUUUCAAAUGGCACAGUGAUGAUGACUGUUGGUAAAGGAUACCUGGAGAAAAUACACCCUUUCACGCAAACCAUCCAUCAGAAGCUCCCUGCCACUUGGUGGAAUGUGGCAGAAUCCAAGCAUUGAGUGUGGAUGAAACAGACCAAUUAGUUGACUAAGGCCAAAGAGUCAUUUGUUCUUUCUAAGAAUGUUUCUUCACUAUGUCUUCCACUAGUCACUGGUACAUUCAGAAUCAGAAACAUGCAAAUGGCAAGGGCUAAAGGAUGGAUGAAGCAGUCUCCUAAGAAUGUUAAAAUAACACCAAAAUGAGAAGAAGAACUUCACACACUUCUUCACUGUGGAAAGUAAUAAUCAGUUAAAUGUAGGAGACAGUAUUCAGUACCCCAAACCUGUGGACAGAGGGCUUGGAGAUGAACUUCAAUCAUAUGGCCAAUGUUGCUACGUAAAGAGACCAAGUAAAAACUCUGGAAACUGAAGCUCAUUCCUUUUUCUGUAGUGCUGUUGACAGUGAGAAGAGGGAUAUGCUGGGAGCUGCUUCCUAGUUGUACUGCUGAACUUGGGCUGACCCUUACUCCAUCUGCAAACUGGCUCUGAUUAGGAAAAUUAUUUGUGAUCACCUCAUAUCAAAACAUGACACACAAUGUGUUACUUCACUGAGGCUGCAAGCGCUGCACAAGAGGACAUCCAAGAAAAAGAUGAAGAUGAGUUACUCUCUGAAAGUGAGAAGUUCCCAGAGCAAGGGUAAAACCCAAGCGCCUUUAAAAAGCCCCAGGUGUUUGUGAAGCCAUGUGUUUGUAUCUUCAGGAUGGGUGCUUUUCAGUUUGUCAUUUACCAGCCUGGAACUUCAUGGAAUCUGAGUGGAGAAGAGGCUGAGUAAGCUAAACAUGAGGCUGUUAAAGAUGGGCCACAGGCGCUUUGCCAGCAAACAUACUUGGACUGGGAGUUACUGGGAACAUCCAUUUUCUCUGUAACUAGGAGAGACACCUGGGAAGUCAGCUUUUAGAGCAUUUUACUUUUAUCGCAUGAUCAAAACUUGACUUCCAUUUAAUUAUGUCUUUCCCUCCCUCCUAGACUGUAGUAAUGUCCUGAAGGGUACCAGUUUUGUCUGUUUUUGGGAUUCUACAACAGUGCCUAAGAUCAGGUUCAGGUUUAGACUCUGGAUGUCUACAGAGAACCACAGAACAGACCCAGUGGCAAAGAACAAAUGCCAUUGCUUUUCUUCAGACCACAGCUGAGAUUCCUACUGUGGAAGUGUUCUUGGUGUUUGUUACUUUCUAAGCAUGGGGCUCCAGCCUACUGAAAAUUGUCUAAUACCUUGCCAAUAAAUUCCUUUUUGUUUAAGUUA